GGAGUUUGGACCGUGUCUCAGUUCCAAUGUGGGGGACCUUCCUCUCAGAACCCCUACUGAUCGUUGCCUUGGUGGGCCGUUACCCCGCCAACAAGCUAAUCAGACGCGGAUCCAUCUCGCACCGAUAAAUCUUUUACCCUGUCCCAUGCGGGACCGUGGUCUUAUGCGGUAUUACCAGCCGUUUCCAGCUGCUAUCCCCCUGUGCGAGGCAGGUUAUCCACGCGUUACUCACCCGUCCGCCACUAAGUUAAAGGUCCAUCCGAAAAUUUCUCUUUAACCCGUUCGACUUGCAUGUGUUAGGCACGCCGCCAGCGUUCAUC
rnacentral:rRNA from 1 species